rnacentral:lncRNA from 1 species
CCACAUGCGCUGCGCCCUGUAUCGCGAUCUUGCCUGUGUUGAUCUUGUCAAUUUUCUUCUUUUUUUUUUUUGAGAAAGUUGUCGAUUUUGAUAGAACUAAUAAAACAUAACUGGAUCUACUAACCAGGGAAUUAGACGGACAGAUUCUAAUACAUGUAAAUAAUAGUGUGUUUCGAGAUCCUAAUACAAGAUCAAGAUGUACAUAAAGUAAAGGCCGUCUUUGGAGCAGAAGAGCCGGGAUCCGCCAUCAGUAGUGGAUGGAGAUCCUCGUCGUAGCUUUCCCGGAGACGAAGAAGAAGACGCCGGGUCGUAGCGCGGCGGCGGUGGAUCUUCCCGUCACUGCCUGCGACCCUCUAGAUCGGAUUAGGGUUUAGAUGUGGGAGGGAGUGUUGGCGGCGGCCAACUUCGUGGUGCGUGCCCCGGCUCCCCUCCCUUCUCUUUAUACCGCAGGGUGAUAGGGGCCCACCAGCCAUUGAACGGCUGUGGCUCCCCGAUCAGGAGCGGAUCAGGGGAAAAACGGAUCCCUCUGCAUUGCCGUUGGGCCAUGCAGGAAGAGGUCAAACUAACAUUCUCCCCCUUGAUCUCUUCUAAUAACUUACCUUAAUCACAUCUUAACAUUAACUUAAUAAACUAAUCACUUAGCUCCGUUUCAUUAUAAAGAAGUGCACAGAGCGCGUCUCAUCGUCACAGAAAGAAUCUUCCGUUGGACUUAACGGCUACAUAUCUCUCUAAUUUGAAAACAGAGUUCUAACUAAAGGGCCCUAAGUGUUCAGUGAUCAUAGGCUUUCCCUUAAACCCAUACCGGCUACGUGUUUUCUGAACACGUUGGGUGGUAAGCCUUUUGUGAGCGGAUCCGCUAACAUAUUGUCCGUCUUGAUAUGCUCUAGACUUAUUAUAUGAUCCUGAACUUUUUCUUUCACAACAUAGUACCUAAUGUCAAUGUGUUUGGCAGCACCACUUGACCUAUUGUUGUGAGCAUAUCCAACUGCGGGAUUAUUGUCGCAGUACAACUUAAGUGGUCUCUCAAUGCUGUCUACCACUCUUAAUCCGGGUAAAAAUUUCUUAAGCCAAUUUACCUGCCCCGAGGCCUCAUAGCAUGCUACAAACUCACGAUAUAACAAUAGGUUGUUUGGAGCUUUUCCACGAUAUAGCCCCACCUGCAAAGGUGAAUAUGUAGCCUGACGUGGAUUUUCUUUCAUCCCCUGCAUAAUCUGAAUCUGAGAAACCCACUAUCUCUAGUGAGUCUGUCUUUCUAUAGUUUAGCAUGAAGCCUUUUGUGCCCUGCAAAUAACGCAAGACUUUCUUAACUAAUUUCCAGUGUUCUACACCUGGAUUUUUCUGAUAUCUGCCAAGUAAUCCGGUAACAAAAGCUAUGUCAGGACGAGUACAAAUUUGAGCAUAUUGUAAGCUUCCGACAGCUGAAGCAUAAGGUACUGAACUCAUUUGCUCGAGCUCUAUCUGAUUCUUGGGACACUGAUGUUCCCCAUAUCUAUCGCCCUUGACAACGGGUGCAGGUGACGGACUGCACUUAUGCAUACCAUAUUUCUUAAGAAUCUUAUCUAUGUAUGCUUUUUGUGACAGCCCUAAAACCCCUCUAUUUCUAUCACGGUGAAUCUCAAUUCCCAGAACAAAAGAGGCUUCACCGAGAUCCUUCAUAUCAAAAUGUGAAGACAAGAACUUCUUAGUCUCCAAUAGUAGACUAACAUCAUUGCUUGCCAGCAAAAUGUCAUCCACGUAUAGGACUAAGAAGAUGAACUUAGCAUUCUUAAACUUUGCAUAAACGCAAUUGUCCUCUACAUUUGCCUUAAACCCAAACUUUCUAAUUGUAUUAUCAAACUUCAAAUACCACUGUCUUGAAGCUUGUUUUAGCCCAUAAAUAGACUUUCUUAGUCGGCAUCUCAUAUUUUCUUUACCUUCCAUGACAAAACCUUUCGGCUGUGCCAUGUAAACAUCUUCCUCAAGAUCCCCAUUAAGGAACGCCGUCUUAACAUCCAUCUGAUGCAAUUCUAAGUCAAAAUGUGCUACUAGCGCCAUUAUUAUUCUAAAAGAAUCUUUACACGAGACAGGAGAGAAAGUCUCGUUGUAAUCAAUUUCUUCUCUUUGGGUAAACCCUUUUGCUACAAGACGUGCCUUAUGUCUUUCGACAUUCCCUUGGGAGUCAUACUUAGUUUUAUAAUCCCAUUUGCAACCAACCUUCUUAGCUCCCUUAGGAAUCUCCAUUAGUUCCCAAACUUUAUUGGAAUCCAUGGAUCUUAUCUCAUCUCUCAUAGCUUCUAACCACUUUGCAGCGUAUUCGCUUCUCAUGGCUUGUUCAUAUGUAGUGGGAUCAUCUUCCAUAUGAAAUUCUUCGGUUUCAUAAACCUCAUAAUCAUCUGAUAUAGCUGAUCUUCUAGUUCUUUGUGACCUUCUAAGGUUCUCAUUGUUUGGCGCUAUAUGGGGCUGUUGUUGUUCUUCCUGUUGCACGACUGGUGGUUCUAAGGGAUCCUGAGGGACAGGUUCCAGGUUCUCAUCAAGUGUCGGCAAUGGAGAACUAACAACAGGUGCUGGCACUACAGUGUCUAGCACUGCUGGUGUAGCAACAAUAGGUAGCGUGAAGUAUGAUUCUUGUAGCAUUGGAGUAGGGGCAUAAACCCGCUUCUCUUCAAGACUAAUUUCUCGCGCUACCUGGCUCCCCCUGAUCAUAACAUCUUCUAAGAACUCAGCGUGUCUUGUUUCUACAAACUUUGUUUGCCUGUCAGGGCAAUAAAAGCGGUAGCCUUUUGAUCUUUCUGGGUAGCCAAUGAAAUGGCAGCUGACUGUCUUAGGAUCUAAUUUUCCUAAAUUUGGGUUGAAAACUUUUGCCUCAGCAGGACAACCCCACACCCUUAAAUGAUUAAGUGAGGGCGCUUUGCCUGUCCACAACUCAUACGGUGUCUUAGGCACCGACUUACUAGGCACUCGAUUAAGAAUGUGAAUAGCGGUUUUUAACGCCUCCAUCCACAAACUUAUCGGUAGGGUAGAGUAGCUUAUCAUGCUUCUUACCAUAUCCAUUAAGGUACGGUUUCUUCUUUCAGCUACUCCAUUCUGCUGAGGCUCUCCUAGCAUGGAAUACUGAGCAACUAUGCCAUUUUCCUGUAGGAACUUUCCAAAAGGUCCUGGAACCUGGCCAUACGGGGUAUGUCGCCCAUAAUAUUCCCCACCACGGUCUGAUCUUACUAUCUUAAUUUUCUUAUUGUGCUGAUUUUCUACUUCUGCUUUAAAUAUCUUAAACUUUUCUAAAGCUUCUGAUCUUUCUCUAAUUGGAUAGAUGUAGCCAAAACGUGAAUAAUCAUCUGUGAAUGUUAUAAAUGAAUCAUAACCAUCCACACUUUUAACAGGAAAAGGUCCACAUAUAUCUGUGUGGAUUAUUUCUAAGGUUCCUGCACUUCGUUUGGCAUUUUUCUUAAUUUUCUUAACAUACUUUCCUUUGAUGCAAUCAAUAUACUGAUCUAAUUCUGAGAGUUCUAAGGGCGGAAGAAUAUCAUUUUUGACUAAUCUUUCUAUUCUCCCCCUCGAAAUGUGGCCUAAUCUGCAAUGCCACAAUUUCGAAGAGUCAUGCUGAUGAUUCUUACGCUUUCUAUUUACAUUCAUAGACGAGGAGUUUGUCUCAUUCACAAUGGAUAUAGCAUUCACAUUCUCAGAAAUUGAUAACAAAUAAAGUUUGUCUUGUCGGAAGACAAGACCAACACACUUAUUAUGAAAUAGUAUCUUACAUUUGCCAUCUCCAAAAUGGCAUGCCAAUCCAUCAUCAUCUAAUUUAGAAACACUUAUUAAAUUGCGAUGCAAAGAGGGAACAAAAAGUACAUCUGAUAGCCUAAGUACAAAACCAUCUAAUAAUGCUAAAGACAAGUCGCCAAUGGCUUCGACGUCGGCCUGUACUCCAUUUGCCACCUUAAUUGUUCUUUCUCCUUUUUGCAAGGUUCUCCUCGUAUGGAAUCCCUGUAAAGAAUUAGCAACAUGAAUUGUUGCACCUGAGUCAAUCCACCAAGUAGAUUUAUCAUAACUUAAAUACAAGGAUUCAUCUACAAAUGUAACUAAGUCCUCACCUUUUCUAUUACAGAAUUUCAGGAAACCAAUGCAAUCCUUUUGCAUGAGGCCACUGUUCUCACAGAACAAGCACUGAUCAGGGUCAAGCCAGGGCUUCUUUUUGUUGGUGUAUUGUGGCUUGUUAUCACCCUGGGCCCUGUUGUCCUGCUGAGGUUGCUGAGGUGCCUUUCCAUGAGGGGCCUUAGCCUGAGCACUAGAGGAGGAGCUGCCAUCCCACUUUGGUUUCCCUUGUGGUUUGGCAUUCUUAUUAUAGAACUUUUUCUUAUUAUCUCUCACAAAGAGAGCAGAGUCUCCCCGUGAGUCCUUAAGUCUCUCCUCCUCCUGCACACACACUGACCAAUGAGCUUAUCUAAGUUCCAUUCCUCAGGUGCCAUGUUGUAGCUCACAACAAAAGCCUCAAACUCCUUAGGCAGAGAGGAAAAAAUCACAUGAAUGAUAAAUGGUUCUGGAAGUUCCAUCUUCAUCGAUGCGAGCUUAGAUGCUAAGGAGUUUAAUCUCAGUAUGUGCUCUCUGACACCACCACCUGUGUACUUCUUAGUAAUGAGUUCUCUAAUAAGCAUGCUAGCUUGGGUCUUAGUGGUCCCAUGAAACUGGUUCUUGACCUUCUCUAAGUACUCAGUGAUGGUGGCACACUCAGGAAGUGAUCCCCUAAUAGGCUCUGAAAUAGUAGCCUUAGCCAGUGUCAGACAUUUCUUAUUUGAAUUGUCCCAUUGCUUCUUUGCAAGGUCAUAGCUCAUUCUCACUGUGGCAUGGUCACGCUUGCGUGUCGCAAACGCUGCCUCAGUCUCAUUCUCUUCACGCACCGGUUCUGCUGGUUCAACAGGACACGGUUCGUUGAAGGCUAAGGCAUUGUCUGUCAUGACAAGGGCUAACUCAUACUGCUGAUGCCACAACUUGUAGUUGGUCCCGUUGAGUGUUGGAAUCAACGACACCUAGUUGGUGAAUCCUGAAAUUUAGAUACAAGAUUUGUGAGGAGACUUAAAUUAAAAGACAAAUAGCUUAAUAUAAAUUGCAUGUAUUAAAACAACGUUGGUCAGUAUUAAUACAUACAAUCCCUUUCUGCAUUAAUUUUACAUCACCGUUGGGCAAAAAAUAAAAUUAAUGCAGUAUAACUGAUGAGGUAAACAAUUAUAAUAUUGAUAUCAUCAACGUUGGUCAGAAAAUAACAAUAUUAUAAAAUUUUCUAAGUCUUAAUUUUGCCCAAAAUUAAAUUCGCCCGUUGGUUUGAAUUUAAUUUAGGAGCAACUAAAAUUACUAAGCAGCGCAAAACGUGAAAUAAAUGUACUAAUAAUAAUUUCCAGAAAUGUAUCUAAUAUUCUCUGAAAAAUUUAUCACGUUGGAUCAAAAUUUAACAGAAAAUUAAACUGAAACUAAUCAAAUAAUACUAAAACAGUUUCUGGAAAAAAAGAGAAAACGAAUUUCCCUAAAGGAACCAACGGCCCGGCCAGCGCGCUAAGGUCUUAGUUGGCCCGGCCCGUAGUGUUUUUUUUUCUCUAAUUCAGGUUUCUGAAAAAUGGAAAAACAAUUUCCAUGGCUAAUGGGCCGGGGCGAACCAUUCGGCCCAGUGGCCGAAACGGCCCGCGAGGGCGAGGCGGAGGCGCCCGCCUGGGCCGAGCGGCCCAGCUGCCCUGCGGCGGAUCUCGUCCGUUGAAUCUGAUCGGACGGCUGCGAGUUAAUUUCGGCCGAACAAAACCACCUGAGGCCGCGCCCCCUUGAAACCCUAGGUUCAUUUCUCUCCUGUCCUGCCCCUUCACCCUCUUCAGACCCAGCAGAGACCAGGGACGAAGGGCGUGGACGGCGCCGCCGCGAGGCCCCUCGCCGGUGCGCGUGCUCGCCCGUGGCAGAGCGCGCCGCCGUCGAGCGGCCGUGCGACUGGCGCCCUAAGUCCCGCCGCGCGCAACGCCCGUCUCCGGCGAGCUCGGGCUCGGACGGGCUGAGUUGUCCCGUCGGCGGCGGGCUAAGAAAGUCGACAAGGUAGGUUUUCUCCCCACUUUUGCCGGUACGCGGUUUUCUGAUUCCAGUGGCACGGGUGAGGAUUAGGGUUAGGGUUAGGCUUAGUGCUAAUCUGAUUUCCCCUCCUUCUAAUUUCUUAUAGCUAGGGUCUAACGAGACUGACUAAUCUCAGUUCUAACCCCUGAUUGGAUUAGGCUGAUACCAAUGAUAGAACUAAUAAAACAUAACUGGAUCUACUAACCAGGGAAUUAGACGGGCAGAUUCUAAUACAUGUAAAUAAUAGUGUGUUUCGAGAUCCUAAUACAAGAUCAAGAUGUACAUAAAGUAAAG